GCCUGAGUGGCUCAGUCGGUUGAGCAUCUGACUUUGGCUCAGGUCAUGAUCUUGCGGUCCGUGAGUUUGAGGCCCGCGUCGGGCU
rnacentral:tRNA from 1 species